rnacentral:misc_RNA from 1 species
GAAGUGCGACAAGUGUCAUGACUUGCAGAUUCCCGAGAGCUGACAAAUUUCUGAAUGCAAAUGGCGGCCAUUAACACCGGCCAUGUAUUGCAGAGUGUAGUUGUUCCUACCGAUCAUCCCCCAACCAGUUCACUCUAGUUGGGCACGGGAUCUGCGCUUGCGACGGCUCUGCGCGCGAGCGUGAAAAAUGGAGCGCCGAGUCGACUUCGCGUCGGCUUGGCGACUUCGGAAGAGAUCUUCUUGGAGUUGAACGCUCCGAACCAUCCCUUUCGACAGCCACCUCUGCGAUGCAGGAGAACCCGCUGAACUUAA